rfam:Ovis aries breed Texel chromosome 3, whole genome shotgun sequence.
UCCUGGUAGCUCUGAUGGUAAAAAAUCUGCCUGCAGUGCAGAAGACCCAGGUUUGAUCCCUGGAUCAGGAA